AGAGGUUAUCGAUGAAGAUGGUAGGGUGGUGCUGGUAACAUGAGAAAAGGGGGGCUUGGGGGGGAAUAAAUCUCCAACGGGGCACACCAGGCGAGCCUUUUGGGGGGGGGGAGAUCGUUCCGAGAGUGGACUGCUGUGCUUCAUAGAGGUCGGCUUUCCCUUUCCUAUAAAAAAAAGGUCUAUGUCACACAACCUCUUGAAUGUGAUGGGGGAAGUCCAAUAACAUUUAUAAAAUACAACUUUCAGCAACGGAUCUCUUGGCACUCGCAUCGAUGAAGAACGCACAGAAAUGCUAUGAGGAACGUGAAUUGCACGGGGGGGGGGAGUCG
rnacentral:misc_RNA from 1 species